GCAGGUACAGAGGGAUGCUACCGGGCGACCGGAUGCGGAUCUCGAAAGCCUGUCCCAGUUCGGACUGGAGUCUGCAACCCGACUCCACGAAGUUGGAUUCGCUAGUAAUCGCGCAUCAGCCAUGGCGCGGUGAAUACGUUCCCGAGCCUUGUACACACCGCCCGUCAAGCCAUGGGAGCCGGGGGCGCCUGAAGUCCGGGACCGCGAGGACCGGCCUAGGGCGAAACUGGUAACUGGGGCUAAGUCGUAACAAGGUAUC
rnacentral:rRNA from 1 species